CACGUAGGGGACGAGCGUUGUCCGGAUUCAUUGGGCGUAAAGAGCUCGUAGGCGGCUUGUCACGUCGGGUGUGAAAGCCCGGGGCUUAACCCCGGGUCUGCAUUCGAUACGGGCUAGCUAGAGUGUGGUAGGGGAGAUCGGAAUUCCUGGUGUAGCGGUGAAAUGCGCAGAUAUCAGGAGGAACACCCGUGGCGAAAGCGGCUCUCUGGGACGGUACUGACGCUGAGACGCGAAAGCGUGGGGAGCGAACAGG
rnacentral:rRNA from 1 species